GACGCCCUUCGGGGUGUAAACCUCUUUUCUCGGGGAAGAACACAAUAACGGUACCCGAGGAAUAAGGACCGGCUAACUUCGUGCCAGCAGCCGCGGUAAUACGUAGGGUCCGAGCGUUGUCCGGAGUUACUGGGCGUAAAGCGCGCGCAGGCGGUGGCGUGUGCCCGGCGUGAAAGCCCCCGGCUCAACCGGGGAGGGUCGUCGGGGACUGCGCCACUUGAGGAUGGCAGGGGUUGGUGGAAUGCCCGGUGUAGUGGUGAAAUGCGUAGAGAUCGGGCGGAACACCUGUGGCGAAGGCGGCCAACUGGGCCAUUCCUGACGCUGAGGCGCGAAGGCGUGGGGAGCGAACAGGAUUAGAUACCCUGGUAGUCCAUGCCGUAAACGUUGGGCACUAGGUGUGGGGGACAUUCCACGUUUUCCGCGCCGUAGCUAACGCAUUAAGUGCCCCGCCUGGGGAGUACGGCCGCAAGGCUAAAACUCAAAGGAAUUGACGGGGGCCCGCAUAAGCGGUGGAUUAUGUGGAUUAAUUCGAUGCAACGCGAAAAACCUUACCUACCCUUGACAUGCCAGGAACCUCGCAGAGAUGUGAGGGUGCCCGAAAGGGAACCUGGACACAGGUGCUGCAUGGCUGUCGUCAACUCGUGUCGUGAGAUGUUGGGUUAAGUCCCGCAACGAGCGCAACCCUUGUCAUUAAUUGCCACAUUCA
rnacentral:rRNA from 1 species